GUGCCAGCAGCCGCGGUAAUACGUAGGGGGCAAGCGUUGUCCGGAUUUAUUGGGCGUAAAGAGCGUGUAGGCGGCCUGUCAAGUCUGAUGUGAAAUCUUGCGGCUUAACCGCAAGCCUGCAUUGGAAACUGUCAGGCUAGAGUCUGGAUGAGGAAGAUGGAAUUCCUGGUGUAGCGGUGAAAUGCGCAGAUAUCAGGAGGAACACCGGUGGCGAAGGCGGUCUUCUAGGACAGUACUGACGCUGAGACGCGAAAGCGUGGGGAGCAAACAGGAUUAGAUACCCGUGUAGUCC
rnacentral:rRNA from 1 species